rnacentral:rRNA from 1 species
UUAAAACUUUCAACAACGGAUCUCUUGGCUCUGGCAUCGAUGAAGAACGCAGCGAAAUGCGAUAAGUAAUGUGAAUUGCAGAAUUCAGUGAAUCAUCGAAUCUUUGAACGCACAUUGCGCCCGCCAGUAUUCUGGCGGGCAUGCCUGUUCGAGCGUCAUUA